UGCCUUCUGAAUAAAUUUAGA
rnacentral:piRNA from 1 species